UCAUUCUGUCUUGCAGGCUGUUGUACAGUGGCCUGAUUAUAGCUCACUGUAGCCUCGAAAUUCUGGGCUGAAAUGAUCCUCCUGCCUCAGCCUCCAAAGUAGCUGAGACUACAGGCUGGUCUUGAACUCUUGGGCUGAAGAGAUCCUCCCACCUCAGCCUCCCAAGGUGUUGAGAUUACAAGCAUAAGCCACCUCACCUGGCCAAGAGCUAGUUGUUAAAAGAGCCUAGCACUACCCCCCUCUUUCUUGUUUCCUCUCUCAUCAUGUGAUCUCCACACACAUUGGCUUGCCUUCCCUUUCUGACAUGAGUGGAAGCAGCCUGAGGCCCUCACCAGAUGUGGAUGCCAGUGCCAUGCUUCUUGUACAAUCUGCAGAAUCAUCAGCUAAAUACACCUCUUUUCUUUAUAAAUUACCCAGCCUUGGGUAUUCCUUUAUAGCAACACAAACAGAGAAAGACAUAUGCAAUUUGCCAUUUUAAUCAUUUUUAACUGUACAAUUUGGUGGUAUUAAUUAUAUUUACAAUGUUGUGCAACCGUUACCACCAUCUAUUACCAAAACCCUUUCAUCACUCCAAAUAGAAACUGUGCUUAUUCAGCAAAAACUCCCAUUUUCCUCUCCUUCCAGCCCCUGGUAACCUCUGGCAACCUCUAAUCUACCUCCUGUCUCUAUGAAUUUGCCUAUUGUAAAUAUUUCACAUAAUGGUAUCAUACACUAUCCUUUUGUGUCUAGCUUAUUUCACUUAGCAUAAUGUUUUCAAGGUUCAUCCAUCUUUUAGCAUGUAUCAGUAUUCCAUUCUUCUUUUCUAUGGCUGAAUAAUAAUUGUAUGUAUAUACUGCAUCUUGUUUAUCCAUUUAUCUUUUUGUUUGUUUGUUUUUUAAAGACAGGGUUUUACCAUGUUGGCCAAGCUAGUCUCGAACUCCUGAACUCAGGUGAUCCGCCCACCUUGGCCUCACAAAGUACUGGGAUUACAGGCGUGAGCCAUCGUGCCUGGGCUAUCCAUUUCUCUUUUGAUAGACAUUUUGGUUGUUUCUACCUUUUGUCUAUUGUGAAUAAUGCUGCUAUGAACAUUAGUGUACAAGUCACUGUUUAAGUUGUUGUUUUCAAUUCUUUUGGGUAUUAGGCCAUUCUUGCAUUGAUAUAAAGAAAUACCUGAGACUGGGUAAGUGCCAAAGAAAAAAUGGUUUAGUUGGCUCACAUUUCUGCAGUCUGUACAGGAAGCAUAGCAGCAUCUGCUUCCAGGGAGGCUUCAGGAAGCUUCCAAUCAUGAUGGAAGGCAAAGUGGGUGCAGGCAUGUCACAUGGCAAAAGCCAGAGCAAGAGAGGAAGUGGGGAGGUGCUGCACACUUUUAAACAAUCAAAUCUUGUGAGAACUCACAAUCUUGAUGACAGCUAGAGAUGGUGAAGCCAUUCAUGAGAAGCCACUCCCAUGAUCCAAUCACCUCCCACCAGGCCCCAACUCUAACACUGGAGAUUAAUUACAUUUCAACAUGAGAUUUGCAUAGGAACAAACCAUCAAACUAUAUCAGGUAUAUACUUAAGAGUAGAAUUACUGGGUGAUAAUUCUGUUUUACGUUUUGAGGAAUUGCCAAACUAUCUUCCUCAGCAGUUAAACCAUUUACAUUCCCACCAGCAGUAUACUAGGUUUCCAAUUUCUCCACAUGUUCAACAACACUAGUUAUUUUUUCUUCUAAUUAUAGCCAUUCUAGUAGGUACAAAGUGGUAUCUCAUUGUGGUUUUAGCAUCUUUUGAGUUGCUUAUUGACCAUUUACAUGUCUUUUUUUUAGAGAAGUGUCUAAGUCUUUUGUCCAUUAAAAAAUUGAGUUAUUUAUCUUU